rnacentral:rRNA from 1 species
UACGGAGGGUGCAAGCGUUGUUCGGAAUCAUUGGGCGUAAAGCGCGUGUAGGCGGCCUGGUAAGUCGGGUGUGAAAUCCCGGGGCCCAACCCCGGAACUGCAUUCGAAACUGCCUCGCUAGAGUCCCGGAGAGGAAGGCGGAAUUCCCGGUGUAGAGGUGAAAUUCGUAGAUAUCGGGAGGAACACCAGCGGCGAAGGCGGCCUUCUGGACGGUGACUGACGCUGAGACGCGAAAGCGUGGGGAGCAAACAGG